UGAGCUUGUUCUUAACCAGGGAAAAGAGAAGAGACCCUGAAGAAGCUAGUCGGCACAGAGUGUGGCUUCUGCUGCAUGUCCAGCUGCUGUCUGUCCCCCAGGAGACCAUUCUAGAGCACACUUGCAUGGGGUGGAGGAUAUUUUCAGCUGCUGAGUCUUCUUCAAGGAGGAGUUAGAGUCAAGACUCUCUGUCUCAGAACCUUGGAGUCCAAAUAGAAAAAAAAAAUUGGAGAUGUGGUAACAUCAAGUGUCAGCCAAGCUGAGAAAACUAGAUGCCAAAAAUGAUAUGUGUAAAAAGCAAGCGGGCCAAGCAGACACAACAGUUGCAGAGAUAAGAGGCAGUCGCUUUUCUUCAAUGGAGGUGCCGAUGCCUACAGAGGACUCACCCAGACCCUUCAAUCUGAUGUAGCAAAUAAUAAAGAGAGAGAUUCGGUACCUAUGGGAACAGCCUCUACUCAGUGACAUUCAAGACAUUUCAAUGCACCAUCUACCUCAUCUACCCAGGUGGCACCACCAGUGUGGGGUCCAGGAGACAGUGCAUCGGGAAGGGACAGAACAGCGAUCUCAGAGACCAGGACAGGCUCAGAGGGACACCUUGACCCUGGGGAAAGAAGAGGAGCCAGGGCCUUGUUUACAUGUUGAAAUCCUCAGGAGGUCAAGGACGAGCCAUACUGAUGAGAAUUAAAGACUCUUGGUGUGUCAGGAGAGAGGAAGAGUUAAAGUCUUGAAGAGGACUCUGUGACAGCUAAAGUAUCAUGUGUACAGGUACAUUUACCACAUCAUGACUUUAACCAUCUAUGUUCUUCAAGGAAGAUAGAGGCUUAUGAAUGGGGACAGAAAUAGAACGAAGGUCAAGAACAGAGUGGGAGAAAAUUAAAGAGUAGGGGAGCAAGGUGCCAUAAUAGUGAAAGGAAAUACAAGAUUCCUGUUGUCAAGGACCUUACAUUCAAUAGGAGAAAGACGUACAAUAAGC
rnacentral:lncRNA from 1 species